rnacentral:rRNA from 1 species
UACGUAGGGGGCUAGCGUUGUCCGGAAUCAUUGGGCGUAAAGCGCGUGUAGGCGGCCCGGUAAGUCCGCUGUGAAAGUCGGGGGCUCAACCCUCGGAUGCCGGUGGAUACUGUCGGGCUCGAGUACGGAAGAGGCGAGUGGAAUUCCUGGUGUAGCGGUGAAAUGCGCAGAUAUCAGGAGGAACACCGAUUGCGAAGGCAGCUCGCUGGGACGUGACUGACGCUGAGACGCGAAAGCGUGGGGAGCAAACGGG